AGCGAACGCUGGCGGCAGGCUUAACACAUGCAAGUCGAGCGGGCACUUCGGUGUCAGCGGCAGACGGGUGAGUAACACGUGGGAACGUACCCUUCGGUUCGGAAUAACGCUGGGAAACUAGCGCUAAUACCGGAUACGCCCUUUUGGGGAAAGGUUUACUGCCGAAGGAUCGGCCCGCGUCUGAUUAGCUAGUUGGUGGGGUAAUGGCCUACCAAGGCGACGAUCAGUAGCUGGUCUGAGAGGAUGAUCAGCCGCACUGGGACUGAGACACGGCCCAGACUCCUACGGGAGGCAGCAGUGGGGAAUAUUGGACAAUGGGCGCAAGCCUGAUCCAGCCAUGCCGCGUGAGUGAUGAAGGCCUUAGGGUUGUAAAGCUCUUUUGUCCGGGACGAUAAUGACGGUACCGGAAGAAUAAGCCCCGGCUAACUUCGUG
rnacentral:rRNA from 1 species